rnacentral:rRNA from 1 species
UACGGAGGGUGCAAGCGUUAUCCGGAUUCACUGGGUUUAAAGGGUGCGUAGGCGGGCAGGUAAGUCCGUGGUGAAAUCCCCGAGCUUAACUCGGGAACUGCCAUGGAUACUAUUUGUCUUGAAUAUUGUGGAGGUAAGCGGAAUAUGUCAUGUAGCGGUGAAAUGCUUAGAUAUGACAUAGAACACCAAUUGCGAAGACAGCUUACUACACAGUUAUUGACGCUGAGGCACGAAAGCGUGGGGAUCAAACAGG